rnacentral:rRNA from 1 species
AUUGAACGCUGGCGGCAUGCUUUACACAUGCAAGUCGAACGGCAGCGCGGGCUUCGGCCUGGCGGCGAGUGGCGAACGGGUGAGUAAUACAUCUGAACGUGCCCAGUAGUGGGGGAUAGCUCGUCGAAAGCCGGAUUAAUACCGCAUACUACCUGAGGGUGAAAGCGGGGGAGCUUCGGACCUCGCGCUCUGGGAGCGGCCGAUGGCAGAUUAGCUAGUUGGUGGGGUAAAGGCCUACCAAGGCGACGAUCUGUAGCUGGUCUGAGAGGACGACCAGCCACACUGGGACUGAGACACGGACCAGACUCCUACGGGAGGCAGCAGUGGGGAAUUUUGGACAAUGGGCGAAAGCCUGAUCCAGCAAUGCCGCGUGUGUGAUGAAGGCCUUCGGGUUGUAAAGCACUUUUGGCGGGAACGAAAAGGACUGUGCCAAUACCACGGUUCGAUGACGGUACCCGCAGAAUAAGCACCGGCUAACUACGUG